rnacentral:rRNA from 1 species
UACGAGGGAUCCUAGCGUUGUUCGGAAUCAUCGUGGCGUAAAGGGUGUGUAGGCGGACUUGUAAGUCAGUUGUGAAAGCCCCGGGCUCAACCCGGGAAGUGCUUCUGAUACUGCUUGUCUUGAGUAUUGGAUAGGUGAGUGGAAUUCCAGGUGUAGUGGUGAAAUACGUAGAUAUCUGGAGGAACACCGGCGGCGAAGGCGGCUCACUGGCCAUAUACUGACGCUGAAACACGAAAGCGUGGGUAGCAAACAGG